UAUGGUCAAAACGCCCAUAUAUGGUCAAAUCAUGCAGAUAUGAUCAAACGCCCUUAUAUAUGGUCAAAAAGCCCUUAUAUAUGGUCAAAAAGCCCUUAUAUAUGGUCAUAACACCCAGAUAUGGUCAAAACGCCCAUAUAUGGGCAUUAUAAUAUAUAUGGGCAUCAUGACCAUAUUUGGUCAAAAUGCCCAUAUAUGGUUCGAAAGCCCAUAUAUUGUCAUAUUGCCCAUAUUUUAUCAUAAUGCCUAUAUAUGGUUUUAAUGCCCAUAUAUUGUCAUAAUGCCCAUAUAUGGUCAUAAUGCCAGAUGCCAUUCAGCCUCUGCUUAAUAGUAGUAGUAGUAGUAGUAGUAGUAGUAGUAGUAGUAAUAGUAAUAAUAAUAAUAAUAAUCCUAAAGUAGGAAGAGACUUCCAAGGGGCAUCCAGUCCAACCUCUUCUGCCAUAAGGGAAAAGCACAAUCAAAGCAUUCCUAACAAAUGGCCAUUCAGUCUCUGCUUAAUAACAACAACAACAACAACAACAUGGCACCCCCGUGGUCUGUGGAAAUCAGAGCUGAAUUGUUUGAAGGGAUGAUGAAGAUGAGCUUCAAUGUCCCUCGAGCAGUAUUGCAGUUAGAAUUACAACCAGAUAAUAUGCGAUGUAGUGGUUUGAGCAUUGGAUUAAGACUCCAGAGACCAGGUCUGUUCAGCCAUUGCAACCCUUUGGGUGACCUUGGGUGAAGUCUAUCUGCCUUAGAAAAACAUGUGCUAGUUUGCCCUUAGAUCCAGCAAAAGUUAGAAAGGACUUCAUAGCAUACUACAAGAAUAAAUGUGAAGGCAUAUUGAUUUUU